rnacentral:rRNA from 1 species
CGGAGGGAUCAUUACCGAGUUUACAACUCCCAAACCCCUGUGAACAUACCACUUGUUGCCUCGGCGGAUCAGCCCGCUCCCGGUAAAACGGGACGGCCCGCCAGAGGACCCCUAAACUCUGUUUCUAUAUGUAACUUCUGAGUAAAACCAUAAAUAAAUCAAAACUUUCAACAACGGAUCUCUUGGUUCUGGCAUCGAUGAAGAACGCAGCAAAAUGCGAUAAGUAAUGUGAAUUGCAGAAUUCAGUGAAUCAUCGAAUCUUUGAACGCACAUUGCGCCCGCCAGUAUUCUGGCGGGCAUGCCUGUUCGAGCGUCAUUUCAACCCUCAAGCACAGCUUGGUGUUGGGACUCGCGUUAAUUCGCGUUCCUCAAAUUGAUUGGCGGUCACGUCGAGCUUCCAUAGCGUAGUAGUAAAACCCUCGUUACUGGUAAUCGUCGCGGCCACGCCGUUAAACCCCAACUUCUGAAUGUUGACCUCGGAUCAGGUAGGAAUACCCGCUGAACUUAAGCAUAUCAAUAAGCGGAGGAAAAGAAACCAACAGGGAUUGCCCUAGUAACGGCGAGUGAAGCGGCAACAGCUCAAAUUUGAAAUCUGGCUCUCGGGCCCGAGUUGUAAUUUGUAGAGGAUACUUUUGAUGCGGUGCCUUCCGAGUUCCCUGGAACGGGACGCCAUAGAGGGUGAGAGCCCCGUCUGGUUGGAUGCCAAAUCUCUGUAAAGUUCCUUCAACGAGUCGAGUAGUUUGGGAAUGCUGCUCUAAAUGGGAGGUAUAUGUCUUCUAAAGCUAAA